rnacentral:rRNA from 1 species
GGACCCGCACAAGUAGUGGAGUAUGUGGUUUAAUUCGAUGCAACGCGAAGAACCUUACCAGGGUUUGACAUCCUGCGAAUCUCUUGGAAACAGGAGAGUGCCUUCGGGAACGCAGUGACAGGUGGUGCAUGGCUGUCGUCAGCUCGUGUCGUGAGAUGUUGGGUUAAGUCCCGCAACGAGCGCAACCCACAUCCCUAGUUGCCAGCAGUUCGGCUGGGCACUCUAUGGAAACUGCCCGUGAUAAGCGGGAGGAAGGUGUGGAUGACGUCAAGUCCUCAUGGCCCUUACGGGUUGGGCUACACACGUGCUACAAUGGCACUUACAAUGGGAUGCAAAGAGGUGACUCCUAGCUAAUCCCAAAAAAGAUGCCUCAGUUCGGAUUGUAGUCUGCAACUCGACUACAUGAAGUU